CCCAGACUCCUACGGGAGGCAGCAGUGGGGAAUAUUGCACAAUGGGGGGAACCCUGAUGCAGCGACGCCGCGUGGGUGAAGGAGUACUUCGGUACGUAAAGCCCUAUCAGCAGGAAAGAAAAUGACGGUACCUGACUAAGAAGCCCCGGCUAACUACGUGCCAGCAGCCGCGGUAAUACGUAGGGGGCAAGCGUUAUCCGGAUUUACUGGGUGUAAAGGGAGCGUAGACGGCAGUGCAAGUCCGGAGUAAAAGCCCGGGGCUCAACCCUGGGACUGCUCUGGAAACUGUAAAGCUGGAGUGCGGGAGGGGCAGGCGGAAUUCCUGGUGUAGCGGUGAAAUGCGUAGAUAUCAGGAGGAACACCGGCGGCGAAGGCGGCCUGCUGGACCGUAACUGACGUUGAGGCUCGAGAGCGUGGGGAGCAAACAGGAUUAGAUACCCCAGUA
rnacentral:rRNA from 1 species